ensembl:lncRNA novel transcript
UCUUUUAGCCUUGCAGUGGCUACAGUUCAAACAGAAUAGCAGAUUUUGGCCAAGCACCAAGGUUGAAGGCUGACUGGUGCUUCCUAAUCCCAUUUAUAAAAAUUCAACACAGCUUCUGCAUAGGGGGAUGAUGUAGCAAGAAGGACCUCACCAGAUGCUGGCACCUUGAUGUUAGACUUCCCAGUCUCCACAAUGUGAACUUGCUUGUCAAAUGCCUCUUUAAAAAGAAAGUGAAGAUAACUGCAAGUCAGCUGGAAGUGCUGCCAAGAUAUGACCUCCAGGAAGGCCCAGAAGACAAGUGAUAUUGUGUGGACUGCUACAGCGCAAUGUCUAACUGAUGCAAAAUGAAGAAUCAAUUUGAAAUUAAGAUGAGUAAAGGCAUCCAGCACUUACAGCAAAAAACAUUGUCAUCAGGCCCUGGGGAGAUGAGGACACCUCCCUUCCCUUCUCAGGCUCCCUUUCCCUGUCAGACUCUAGCUCUCAAAGGCUGUCAUCCUCCAAGGGUAUUCCCUACGUACUGCAUAGCAUCUCUGUUACCCUUUGAAUUCAACAGUAUUCAUCUCCUCCAACAUUCAUUCAUUCCUUUAGUCAAAAGUCAGUUGUCAAACACAAGGCACAAGUGCACAUUUAAGGAAUUCAUGGCCAAUAUUUGUCAUGUCAUUUCAUGAAUUGUCUGAGAAACAUAAAACAUACAAUGAGGAUACUGAUCCAAGAUACAUGGCACACAAUUAAAUUGCGAAAAACAUGACUCUGAGUCCAAAAGUUCUUAUUUUUUCACAGUCUUCAGAGUAUUGUAUAGACCCCUUGAAAAAUAAAUUUGCAGAGUGUGAAUGUUAAUUACUGUCACCUUCAGAAAAGAGAUUUUACACAUGUAUAAAAGAGAAAUAGUGACUAUUCUAGAUUAUAGAGCACAGAAAGAAUUCUCAAACUAGUAUAACCCUAUUUCUCUAUAUCACAAAGACAUCUUGUAGGCAUGUUCCUCUGAAGGACUUGAGAAUUAUGCUUUUUUUCCUCCUUGUCUCUCUAAAAGCAAAAAGCACAGUAAUCUCGCUGAAGUAUAAUCAAAACAGAGCCUGAUGUGAAACCAGAGCCUUGAGUUUUCAUCCUGCAUUUGUUACUUAAAAGCUGACAUAAGAAAAAUUAUUUAACUUCUCUUAACCUCAGUUUCUUAUCUAUAAAAUGGGAUUAUAAAAUGUAUCUCACAAGGUAGUUAUGAGGAUUAAAGGAAAUGAAAAAAUGCUUAUUUGGUUUUGAAUCCUGGUUUGGUCUAGCUAUCAAUAAAACUCAUUAA